AUUGAACGCUGGCGGCAGGCCUAACACAUGCAAGUCGAACGAGUGGCGGACGGGUGAGUAAUGUCUGGGAAACUGCCCGAUGGAGGGGGAUAACUACUGGAAACGGUAGCUAAUACCGCAUACCAUCGGAUGUGCCCAGAUGGGAUUAGCUAGUAGGUGGGGUAACGGCUCACCUAGGCGACGAUCCCUAGCUGGUCUGAGAGGAUGACCAGCCACACGGGAACUGGACCACGGUCCAGCCGCCUCCGGGGGGCAGCGUGGGGGAAUAUUGCACAAUGGGCGCAAGCCUGAGGCAGCCAUGCCGCGUGUAUGAAGAAGGCUUUCGGGUUGUAAAGUACUUUCAGCGAGGAGGCGUUACUCGCAGAAGAAGCACCGGCUAACUCCGUGCCAGCAGCCGCGGUAAAC
rnacentral:rRNA from 1 species